AUGAAGGCGCUUCUGCUGCUGGUCCUCCCCUGGCUCAGCCCUGCCAAUUACAUUGACAAUGUGGGCAACCUCCACUUCCUGUACUCAGAACUCUGUAAAGGCGCCUCCCACUAUGGGCUGACCAAAGACAGGAAGAGGCGUUCUCAAGAUGGCUGUCCAGAUGGCUGUGCGAGCCUCACAGCAACAGCACUCUCCCCAGAGAUUUCUGCAGCUGCCACCAUCGCCUUAAUGACGGAUGAGCCUGGCCUAGACAACCCUGCCUACGUGUCCACAGCAGAGGAUGGUCAGCCAGCAAACAGCCCAUUGGACUCUGGCCGGAGCAACCGAACUAGGACACGGCCCUUUGAGCGAUCCACUAUCAGAAGCAGAUCUUUUAAAAAAAUAAAUCGAGCUUUGAGCGUCCUUCGAAGGACGAAGAGUGGAAGUGCAGUUGCCAACCAAGCUGACCAGGGCAGAGAAAAUUCUGAAAACACCACUGCCCCUGAAGUCUUUCCAAGGUUGUAUCACCUGAUUCCAGAUGGUGAAAUUACCAGCAUCAAGAUCAAUCGAGUGGAUCCCAAUGAAAACCUCUCCAUUAGGCUUGUGGGAGGCAGAGAAACCCCACUGGUCCAUAUCAUUAUUCAACAUAUUUAUCGUGAUGGGGCAGUUGCCAGAGACGGCCGACUACUGCCAGGAGACAUCAUACUAAAGGUCAACGGGAUGGACAUCAGCAAUGUACCUCACAGCUACGCCCUGCGCCUUCUGCGGCAGCCCUGCCAAGUGCUGCGGCUGACAGUGCUGCGGGAGCAGAAGUUCCGAAGCAGGAACAAUGGACAGGCACUGGACACCUAUGGACCUCGGGAUGACAGUUUCCAUGUGAUUCUCAACAAGAGCAGCCCUGAGGAACAGCUUGGAAUAAAACUAGUGCGCAAGGUGGAUGAACCUGGGGUGUUCAUUUUCAACGUGUUGGAUGGUGGUAUGGCGGACCGACAUGGUCAGCUGGAGGAGAACGAUCGUGUGUUAGCCAUCAAUGGACAUGACCUUCGAUACGGCAGCCCAGAAAGUGCAGCUCAUCUGAUUCAGGCCAGUGAAAGGCGUGUCCACCUCGUCGUGUCCCGCCAGUUUCGUCAGCAGAGUCCUGACAUCUUUCAGGAAGGUAGCUGGAACAGCAACGGCAGCCAGUCCCCAGGGCCAGGGGACAGGAGCAACACUCCCAAGCUCCUCCAUCCAGCGGUCACUUGUCAUGAGAAGGUGGUAAGUGUCCAAAAAGACCCCAGCGAAUCUCUCGGCAUGACCGUUGCAGGGGGAGCAUCACAUAGGGAGUGGGAUUUGCCCAUCUAUGUCAUCAGUGUUGAGCCCGGAGGAGUCAUAAGCAGAGAUGGAAGAAUAAAAACAGGUGACAUUUUGUUGAAUGUGAAUGGGAUUGAGCUAACACAGGUCAGCCGGAGUGAGGCAGUUGCAUUAUUGAAGAGCACAUCCUCCUCGGUGGUACUUAAAGCUUUGGAAGUCAAAGAACGUGAGGCCCAGGAAGACUGCAGCAGCCCAGCAGCCCUGGACUACUCCAACCACAACACAGCCCCACCUGGCGACUGGUCCCCUUCCUGGGUCAUGUGGCUGGAAUUACCACGGUACCUGUAUAACUGUAAAGAUGUUAUAUUACGAAGAAAUACAGCUGGAAGUCUGGGCUUCUGCAUUGUAGGAGGUUACGAAGAAUAUAAUGGGAACAAACCUUUCUUUAUCAAAUCCGUUGUUGAAGGAACACCAGCAUACAAUGAUGGAAGAAUUAGAUGUGGUGAUAUUCUUCUCGCUGUCAAUGGCAGAAGUACAUCAGGCAUGAUACAUGCUUGCUUGGCAAAGAUGCUGAAAGAACUUAAAGGAAAAAUUACUCUCACAAUUGUUUCUUGGCCUGGCACUUUUUUGUAGAAUCAAUGAUGGGUCAUAGAAAAAUGAGAAAUCACAAAUAAGCUAAGUUGAAACAACGUAUUUAUCUUGUCAAUUUUUGUAUUUAAAGGAUACACUGUAAAAAAUGUAAACUUUAAUUGUCAGGAAAAGUAUGAUCUAAAGAAAGCCAAUGACACCUCAGAAAAUAUAACUCUCAAAACAAACAUUACUAAUAGUGUUUAUUUAGUGUGGAGGAUUUCUCAUUACUCCACAACUUUAACUUUAUAUUUUUUUAUUCAGUAAAAAGCUCUUAAAUUGCUGAAAUGGUUUGUAUGCCCCCCACUGGCUUUAAAUCCUACAAUUAAAUUAAAAAUUUGGUAUAUGCUGAGGUCUGCAAAGGGUACACUAUACAACCAGAGGAUUUUAAAUGUACAUUGCUGGAAAAUGUUUGUUUCAUCAAAUGAGAAAUAAAUAUUUUUGAAAAAUUAUAGUCGUCUUUUAG
rnacentral:lncRNA from 1 species